UCAGGAUGAACGCUAGCUACAGGCUUAACACAUGCAAGUCGAGGGGAAACGACAUCGAAAGCUUGCUUUUGAUGGGCGUCGACCGGCGCACGGGUGAGUAACGCGUAUCCAACCUGCCCACCACUUGGGGAUAACCUUGCGAAAGUAAGACUAAUACCCAAUGAUAUCUCUAGAAGACAUCUGAAAGAGAUUAAAGAUUUAUCGGUGAUGGAUGGGGAUGCGUCUGAUUAGCUUGUUGGCGGGGUAACGGCCCACCAAGGCGACGAUCAGUAGGGGUUCUGAGAGGAAGGUCCCCCACAUUGGAACUGAGACACGGUCCAAACUCCUACGGGAGGCAGCAGUGAGGAAUAUUGGUCAAUGGGCGAGAGCCUGAACCAGCCAAGUAGCGUGCAGGAUGACGGCCCUAUGGGUUGUAAACUGCUUUUAUAAGGGAAUAAAGUGAGUCUCGUGAGACUUUUUGCAUGUACCUUAUGAAUAAGGACCGGCUAAUUCCGUGCCAGCAGCCGCGGUAAUACGGAAGGUCCGGGCGUUAUCCGGAUUUAUUGGGUUUAAAGGGAGCGUAGGCCGGAGAUUAAGCGUGUUGUGAAAUGUAGAUGCUCAACAUCUGAACUGCAGCGCGAACUGGUUUCCUUGAGUACGCACAAAGUGGGCGGAAUUCGUGGUGUAGCGGUGAAAUGCUUAGAUAUCACGAAGAACUCCGAUUGCGAAGGCAGCUCACUGGAGCGCAACUGACGCUGAAGCUCGAAAGUGCGGGUAUCGAACAGGAUUAGAUACCCUGGUAGUCCGCACGGUAAACGAUGGAUGCCCGCUGUUGGUCUGAAUAGGUCAGCGGCCAAGCGAAAGCAUUAAGCAUCCCACCUGGGGAGUACGCCGGCAACG
rnacentral:rRNA from 1 species